UACGAAGGGGGCGAGCGUUGUUCGGAUUUACUGGGCGUAAAGGGCGCGCAGGCGGCUAUCCAAGUCAGGCGUGAAAGCCCCGGGCUUAACCUGGGAGGUGCGUCUGGGACUGGGUGGCUAGAGUUCGGGAGAGGAGAGUGGAAUUCCCAGUGUAGAGGUGAAAUUCGUAGAUAUUGGGAAGAACACCGGUGGCGAAGGCGGCUCUCUGGACCGAGACUGACGCUGAGGCGCGAAAGCGUGGGGAGCGAUCCGG
rnacentral:rRNA from 1 species